ensembl:lncRNA
CGCGCCCCAAAUAUGCCUUUCUCUAUUACGCUCAUCCUGAUGAAAAUGCGCCGUCUUUAACGUGAUGAGCGCAGCGACCUAAUGGACGUGCCCCAGAGUAAUGAUGAUCCCCGGUGCUAAACCCUCGCCGGCGGUUCGAUGCCGUCCCGGCGCGUGAGUGAGCGUCGCUGCCAGCGUGGGGUUCGAUAACGCGGCGUACGGAUUGAUCCAUGGGGAACAGCAGAGCCGAGUGGUUGUAGGCUAUUCGCUCCACACACACACACACACACACACACACCUCUCAUGGGGGUAUUACGUUUCCCCGGUAAAGCUGCUCCUGCUGGAAUCACACAGUGUGCGUUCUGUUUGGGUGUUUUCUCUGUAUAUAUUGAUAUCUAUGUUUUUUUUUGGCUUUAAGUGGUAUGGGCGCUGUAUGGGACCGCUGAAAGAAGACUGUCACUCUCGAGUAAGCCUGUAGGUAGGAUUGUUCAGAUUGUGCUGCCGGUCAGAAGCUUAGACCAGAUGGGUUUCCCAGGAAGAUGAGAUUUAGCGCACUCACACACAAACACACCAACACACACGCGCACGCACAUGCACGGAUCCACACACAGAUUGCGCACACAAAUGCACACACGUAUGAACACUCGCACAACAUGUCGGCACACACACAGGAACACACAGAAGCAAACAGAAAUGUAUGCACGCACACACACACACACACACACCACACAUGCGCACGCACACAUGCUGGGAUCAACACACAGAUGCGCACACAUACACACACUCGCACAACAUAUAGGCACACGCACACAGGCAUACACCGAAGCAAACACAAACACACACACACACACACAGGCGCGCACACACACACACAGGCACGCACACAUGCAUGGAUCCAUACACAGAUGCACACACAAAUAAGCACACAUACACACACUCGCACAACAUAUAGGCACACACACACACAGGCAUACACAGAAGCAAACACAAAUGCACGCACACACACACACACACACAAACACACAAGCGCACGCACACAUACAGGGAUCAACACUCAGAUGCACACAAAAAUGCACACACAUAUAUACACUCUUUAUAGGCACACGCACACACAGAGGCACACACGGACACGAACGCCAAUGCACGCACGCACACACACAUGCAUACAAGGAACCAAAUCACUGUGUGCACAUGCACACAGGGGGCUAAGGGCGGGUGAUCAACGGUGAUUACAGACUCUGACAACAUCCACCAUGUGUGGCAGCCGCGCAGCCAUCCACCGCCACGCGCCAGGCAAUCUCCCCCCGCUUAAUGCUUUUGAGUACCAUCGCCACGGCAACGAUCACACACGCAAAUGCCACACACAAACAAACACACACGCACGCGCGCACGCACCCACACGCCUCAGCUGUUGCGCCUCCGUGGGACAUUGAGGAUGAAGACUGUCAGCCAAUGAGAUCAGUGUGUCACACACGGAGAUGAUGUUGAGGAGGGGCAUGAACAGUCAAGAUGAUGGGAGCGGCUCCAGCGAGACGCUCCCCGCCACACACUCUGUCACGCUCUCACCCCCCCAACUUCAAUCGCUAACCGGGGCUGCUUUUGGCUUCUUCUUCUUUUUUUUGGUGUGUGUGUGUGUGUGUGUGUGUGUGUGUGUGUGUGUGUGUGUGUGUGUGUGUGUGUGUGUGUGUGUGUGUGUGUGUGUGUGUGUGUGCUUCUAUGUCUGUCAUGGAUUUGAAUGCAUUCACUUCAAUUCCCAUGCUCUGCAUCAACAAAUGUGUUGGAAAAUUCCUAACAGCUGUGGUUCCAGCCACUGGGAGUAAGAGAUGGGGGGGGGUUGGAGGAGGUAGCGAUGUCUCCUCUGUAGGGAGCUAAACACUGAGAUGAUAAUCGUGGUCGAUGGCGGUGAAUAGUGCCCCACACAAAAAAAAAAGCGCGAAAAAGUCUCCACCGAGACUUGAUAAGUGGAAUCAAUUCAGGUGCAUGUCGUUACUGCGAGCCGGCCCCGCGUCGCCAAACCGUCGGCGCCAGGAAGUGACGGCGCGCCACCAAAGUGAGGUCGUUAACCGGCGACGGCGGAUUCCCGGGUGGCUGAGACGCUACUCUGCGCUGAGACACCGAGCCUCUCGAGACAUUCCCCCCUUCCCCGCCACACACACUCCCCCCUCUCUGGAGACUGUUACACGCUGUUUGAAAUGGUACUUUAAUGACGCACGACGCCGGGCAGACGUAAAGUGUGCGCCAAAUCGCGCCCUCUUCCCUCGCAGAGGAAGUGGAGAUGGAGGCUGAUGAAGUGGGCUAGGCGCUCGCACCAGAGCGGUUCCCCGGGAGUUCAGGCAGUCUAGAGGUUUUUUUUUAUCCGCCAUUAUCCCCAUCUGGUCUAGAUCCCCGGUUUCUCUUUCUCGGGCUGUUUCAGAUGUCAGGCGGGAGUUGUUGUACUGUUGGAGGGUUUUUUGUGUUUCAUUUCAUUGAGAUGGGUUCACUCUUAGAUGCAGCGUAUUCUCUGUGUUGUGUCGGCUCCCCCCCCUCAGGGUUCGUAUUUGAAACCGUUGCUCGAAUGCUGGAGGAGGAACCUAAUCAUUCCGGUUAUGUAAUCCAAGGAUAACGCACAUGCCGACUCACUCCCAGGUCUCUCUCUCUGUCUCUCUCUGUCUCUCCCUCACUCCCUCACUCAUUCACUCAUACUCUUUGUCUCUCUCUCUCUGUCUCUCUCUCUCUUUCUGUCUCUCUCUCACUCUCUCUCUUUGUCUCUCUCGUUCUCUCCCUCACUCACCUUCUCUCUCUUUCACUCACUCAGUCACUCACUCACAUGGUUUCAGCUGAGGUCACACACACACACACACACACACACACACACACACACACACACACACACACACACACACACACACACACACACACACACACACACACACACACGCAUGCACAGUGCUCACUGGUGUCAAUGAGUUCAAAGUGAGCGAGGCAUAAUUAUGACAUCUGCUGUCGGAGAGAUUAAGAGCCCUCAGAACUUUAGCAGUGCGUCGCCGACCGAGUAGCACACCAAAGUGUUGACAAACAAAGCGCGCGGGUUUCUGCCGCUGUCUCGCCGUUACCAGCCUCUUUGAUACCGGCUUAAUUGGAGCGCACGCCAGCCUCUGGUGCAACAGAUACACCUAAUUAGGCGACUUGUGCGCAUAAUUAAAACGAUGUACCGUAACAAAGCUCAGCUCAAUGUGCACUUUAAUGAAAUCCAUUAGGGCACGUAUCACCUGCAAUGAUCUUUUUAUGUUCUGUGUUCUUCUCCAGAGUUACAUCGUUGUGGGGAGGCGUUUUUUCCGUUUUCCGCCGAGACAAAGGGACAGUCUGUUGUUCUGCAUGGAAGGGCUUCCGGUGUGGUCCGAGGGGUUUGAUGCCUUCUGCCGCUCAACAGUAGUGUUGUGAUGCACAGGGCUCGGUGACCCUCCUGCCUGUGAAAUCGAUCUGCAUCCCUCUCCCUCUCCCCCUCCCUCUCUCUCUCCUCUCUCUCCCCCCCUCUCUCUCUCUCUCUCUCUCUCUCUCGCCCC